ensembl:lncRNA
GGAAAUUUAAAGAAAGAAAUGUUGUAUCAUGGUUUAAAAGAGACAAGAAAUUGAAUGAAGAGUUUGUGGUGAGGACCAUAGACUGUAUAUGAAAGAUGGACCUAGCUACAGUGGUGUUGCCCACUGGUUUUAAGAUCUCUUGAGGCCUCAGUGUUAGCAUUUUAACACCAUGUUAGACCAUAUGUGGAAAAGCAUGUUAUCAGCCAAGGCUAGCAAUCUUGGUUAGCAACAUCUUUGAACUGUAGAGGUGCAAGUCACAAACACAGAUACCACAUGCCUGUAGUACGAAGCAAGAUUUCAUCAUACCGCAAGGUUAACCCUGGGUUUUCUAUACUGCAAAGUUGGUUCAUGUCUUACCAGAGUUGACUGCCUUCGUAAUUUAUGGUGCAGCUAAUCUGGUGCAGAGGAGGUUCUCUUGAAAAUAGCAUUACAAUUCCUGUAAGAUCCUGUGAACAUUAGUGUGUUGAUAGCAAGUUUUUUUUUUUUUAAACCGUCUGAUCUUAAUGAUGUAUUUGCAUUAACUGUUUGUCAACUCACACAGCUGGCAUGUUUUCUUUGAUUCUUGGCUUCAAAUAGGCCAGGGGUAACAAGCAUAAGGCCCAGGGGCCAAAAUCGGCCUGACUAACAAUACAAUCCGGUCCUUUGGACAGCUUUGGAAAACAGUGAGGGCAGAAAUCUUUAAAAGUUUCACAGCGCCUCCUGGUCAUAAAGAGCCCCCCUACACAAACAGGAAAAUUCUUGUUACUUUACAUGCUGGAAUUACUAUUGAAAUUUCAGUUACAAUGUUACAAUACAGUAAAAAACAAUUGAAAAGAACUGUAAAUUAACAGACAUAAGAAAUACUGUUGGAAAGACGUCUUUUUCUUAUUUUAUGACCUUUCGGUCAAACUUCUUCACACUGAUGGGAAGGUGAGUUUCACAGGUUUGACCCACUCAGAUUAAAGUGGGCUGUGUGUAACCCACCAUGAAAAUUUAUUCGACUUCCCUGAAAUAGCCUAACUUUAUUAAUAUAGUAGCUAUUUUCUGGUGUUACUGACCAAAAACUUUAACGCACA